CCUACGGGAGGCAGCAGUGGGGGAUAUUGCACAAUGGGGGAAACCCUGAUGCAGCGACGCCGCGUGAGUGAAGAAGUAUUUCGGUAUGUAAAGCUCUAUCAGCAGGGAAGAAAAAAGACGGUACCUGACUAAGAAGCCCCGGCUAACUACGUGCCAGCAGCCGCGGUAAUACGUAGGGGGCAAGCGUUAUCCGGAUUUACUGGGUGUAAAGGGAGCGUAGACGGCAAUACAAGUCGGAAGUGAAAUACCCGGGCUCAACCUGGGAACUGCUUUGGAAACUGUAUGGCUAGAGUGCUGGAGAGGUAAGCGGAAUUCCUAGUGUAGCGGUGGAAUGCGUAGAUAUUAGGAGGAACACCAGUGGCGAAGGCGGCUUACUGGACAGUAACUGACGUUGAGGCUCGAAAGCGUGGGGAGCAAACAGGAUUAGAUACCCUAGUAGUC
rnacentral:rRNA from 1 species